rnacentral:rRNA from 1 species
CCCAURGUCUUMGAGUAGGGCUACACACKUGCUACAAUGGCGCAYACAAAGAGAAKCGACCUCSCGAGAGCAARCGGACCUCAUAAAGUGCGUCKUAGUCCGGAUUGGAGUCUGCAACUCRACUCCAUGAAGUCGGAAUCSCUAGUAAUCGUGGAUCASAAUGCCACGGUGAAUACRUUCCCGGGCCWUGUACACAMCGCCCGUCACACCRUGGGAGUGGGUUGCAAAAGAAGUAGGUAGCUUAACCUUCGGGAGGGCGCUUACCACUUUGUGAUUCAUGACUGGGGUGAAGUCGUAACAAGGUAACCGUAGGGGAACCUGAGGUUGGAUCACCUCCU